UACAGGGGGGGCAAGCGUUGUUCGGAAUUACUGGGCGUAAAGGGUUCGUAGGUGGCCGACUAAGUCAAACGUGAAAUCCCUCAGCUCAACCGGGGAACUGCGUCUGAGACUGGAAGGCUUGAAUCCGGGAGAGGGAUGUGGAAUUCCAGGUGUAGCGGUGAAAUGCGUAGAUAUCUGGAGGAACACCGGUGGCGAAGGCGGCAUCCUGGACCGGUAUUGACGCUGAGGCGCGAAAGCUAGGGGAGCAAACGGG
rnacentral:rRNA from 1 species